rnacentral:rRNA from 1 species
AAUCAACCGAGAUUCCCCCAGUAGCGGCGAGCGAACGGGGAGCAGCCCAGAGCCUGAAUCAGUAUGUGUGUUAGUGGAAGCGUCUGGAAAGGCGCGCGAUACAGGGUGACAGCCCCGUACACAAAAAUGCACAUAUUGUGAGCUCGAUGAGUAGGGCGGGACACGUGGUAUCCUGUCUGAAUAUGGGGGGACCAUCCUCCAAGGCUAAAUACUCCUGACUGACCGAUAGUGAACCAGUACCGUGAGGGAAAGGCGAAAAGAACCCCGGCGAGGGGAGUGAAAAAGAACCUGAAACCGUGUACGUACAAGCAGUGGGAGCACGCUUAGGCGUGUGACUGCGUACCUUUUGUAUAAUGGGUCAGCGACUUAUAUUCUGUAGCAAGGUUAACCGAAUAGGGGAGCCGAAGGGAAACCGAGUCUUAACUGGGCGUUAAGUUGCAGGGUAUAGACCCGAAACCCGGUGAUCUAGCCAUGGGCAGGUUGAAGGUUGGGUAACACUAACUGGAGGACCGAACCGACUAAUGUUGAAAAAUUAGCGGAUGACUUGUGGCUGGGGGUGAAAGGCCAAUCAAACCGGGAGAUAGCUGGUUCUCCCCGAAAGCU